rnacentral:rRNA from 1 species
UACGGAGGGGGCUAGCGUUGUUCGGAAUUACUGGGCGUAAAGCGCACGUAGGCGGCUUUGUAAGUUAGAGGUGAAAGCCCAGGGCUCAACCCUGGAAUUGCCUUUAAGACUGCAUCGCUCGAAUCAUGGAGAGGUGAGUGGAAUUCCGAGUGUAGAGGUGAGAUUCGUAGAUAUUCGGAAGAACACCAGUGGCGAAGGCGACUCACUGGACAUGUAUUGACGCUGAGGUGCGAAAGCGUGGGGAGCAAACAGG